rnacentral:lncRNA from 1 species
CGCCUGCGCGCGGUGAGGUAGUUUUUGCGUUUGGCUUUGCCGCCGCGGUGUAGUCCGCGGGGGCGUCUCGCGCGGGCAGACUGCCGCCCCUCAAGCGUGGUUCCUGCCGGGAAUGACUGGGGUUGGUCCUGAAGAGACCACCUGGCCAACCAAGCCGAGGCAGGCUCAGAGCGCCGCGGGGAGCGCAAAGCCGCGCGCGCCUCUGAGCUCCGGGCAGCCGCUGUUCCUCCCGGCGGCCGAACGGUCCGCGCGCAGGGCGGUGUUUCGGCAGCCGGAGACCGCGCGGUAGCCGCGCCUGUAUUCCCAGCGCUUUGGGAGGCCGAGGCUGGAGGGUCGCUUGAGCCCAGGAAUUCCAGACUAGCCUGGGCAACAGAGCGAGACCCCAUCACUUUUGUUUCUUUUCUUUUUUUUUUUUUUCCUUUUUUUGAGACGGAGUCUCCCUCUGUCGCCCAGGCUGGAGUGCAGUGGCGCGAUCUCGGCUCACUGCAACGUCUGCCUCCUGGGUUCAGGUGAUUCUCCUGCCUCAGCCUCCCGAGUAGCUGGGAUUGCAGGUGCGCGCCACCACGCCUGGAUGAUUUUUGUUAUUUUUAGUAGAGACAGCGUUUCGCCAUGUUGGCCCAGGCUAGUCUCGAACUCCGGACCUCAGGUGAUCCGCCCGCCUCGGCCUCCCAAAGUGCUGGGAUUACAGGCGUGAGCCACCGCACCCGGCUGAGACCCUAUCUUUUAACCAGCCUGGGCGGCAGAGCGAGACUCUGUCUCAAAACAAAACCAAACAUAAGAAUUCGUAAAAGCGAGUGCCUAGGCGAAGCUAAUGUGCCUCAAAGUCCUGGGUAAGUAGAGGCCCUGGAGACCCGUCCGCAUCCUCUGGCAGUGGCCUUGGAACCACCGAAGGGAUUCAGCCGAAGGGCCGCGUUCCCGGCAGGCGUCUUUAUUGUGUUGAUUACGUAGAUGGCGUAGAUGACGUAGAUGACGUUCAGCACCACAAACGAAGAGCCGAGGCACAGAGUGGGGCCUUGGAUUCAUGAGAUGGGGAUGGAGCAGAAAUGAGAAUUCGGAGUCCAUGAAACCCCCACAAAGACUCCUGCACGGCCCGACUCGGACACUUUGCAAUCUGCUGGUUGAGGGGGAUGGUGUGAACUCAGGGAACAGCCUGAGAUCGCGCCGCUGCACUCCAGCCUGGGCAACAGAGCAAGACCCUGUUUCAAAAACAAAAAAUAACACUAAGCAAUUAACAGGACUAGACUCAGAGGUGAUCGAGAAAUUGAAACAGGCUGGAAAUUUAAAUUAACUGUGAUUAAUAUGUGGAGGUCUCUUGUACGAAAGGUGAACAAUAUGCAUGAGGAGGAAACUCAUCAAAUUAUAAGAAAGGAAGAACGCUGAUAACAGGUAAUUUUUCUGAUGGGGCAGCAGUAGGAUCAACACAGCUGAGAAAAAUAGGAAUUACCCACGUUGGAAAAUAAAGAAGAAAAAAAGUUUUUUUUUAAAAAAAGCAUCCAAGAACUGUGGGAAAAUAUCAAAUGAUAUCAUAUGCAUGUAAUAGGACUCCCAAAAGAAGAAGAAAGAACAAAUCAUAAAAAAUGUUUGAAGAGAAAAUUACCAAUAAUUUUCCCAAAAUAAUGAAAGACCUGAGCUCAGAGCACACACAAAACUUGAUAAAUAUGAGCCCCUGCCUGACACAUGCAGUGUAUUCAAACUGUGGAAAUCAGAGAGAAAACCAUGAAGAUGGCCGGAGGAAAAAGAUACGUUAAAUACAGUAACAAAGGUAAGAAUUCCAGCCUGGGCAAUAUGGCAAGACCUCGUCUCUACAAAAAAUACAAAAUUUUUUUUUUGUAUUUUUUGUAUUGCCCAGUGUGGUGACACGAGCCUGUAGUCCUGUGGGCGGAGAAUUACCCAGGUGCCGAGGCAAGAGACCGAAGGCACAAACUAUUUCAGUAUAAUAAAAUCGUUACAAUAAGAACAGUCAUAAUACAAAUUAUGGAGAUGAUCAUGGACAAUUAUCAAUUAUUAUAAACAUUAAUCAUUAGCUUUUAAUAUUACUGUUUGUUGCAUUACUAAUAUAACCUAGGAAUAACCGGUGGGUAUAGGGUCAGGUGCUGAAAGGACAUUGUGAGAAGUGAGUGGAAGGCAAGAGGUGAACCUUCUGUCAUGCCCGCAUAAGGGCCGCUUGAGGGCUCCUUGGUCAAGCGGUAACGCCAGUGUCUGGGAAGGCACCCGUUACUUAGCAGACCAUGAAAGGGAGUCUCCUUUGCUUGGAGGAGUCAGGGAACACUCUGCUCCACCAGCUUCUUGUGGGAGGCUGGAUGUUAUCCAGGCCUGCACGCAGUCAUCCGGAGGCCUAAACCCCUCCCUGUGGUGCUUCACUGGUCACGCUCCUUGUCCACUUUCAUGUUCCUCCCUUACUUCUGGUUCGUCUUUGAAGUUCGUAGUAGAUAGCGGUAGAAGAAAUAGUGAAAGUCUUAAAGUCUUUGAUCUUUCUUAUAAGUGCAGAGAAGAAAAUGCUGACGUAUGCUGCCUUCUUUCUCUGCUUCACCUACCUGAAAGGGAAGGGCCCCCAUCCUGUAAUCACGUGACAUGCUUCACCUUGUCAAUCACUUAGAAGAUUCACCUUCCUUACGCUGCCCCCUUGUCAUGUAUGCAAUAGAUAUCAAAGAGCCUAGCCGUUCGGGGCCGCUACCAGUCUCCGCGUCUUGAUGGUAGUGGUCCCCGGGGCCCAGCUGUUUUCUCUUUAUUUCUUGGUCUUGUGUCUUUAUUUAUUACAAUCUCUCUUCUCCGUACAUGGGGAGAACACCCACUAAGCCCCAUAGGGCUGGACCCUACAUAGUCCCAGCUACUUGGGAGGCUGAGGUGAGAGGAUCACUUGAGCCCAGGAGGCUGAGGCUGCAGGGAGCCACCAUCACGCCACUGCACUCCAGCCUGGAUGACAGAGUGACACCCUGUCUCAAAAAAAAAAAAAAGGCAGGGGUGCUGGGCACGGUGUCUCACACUUGUAAUCCCAGCAUUUUGGGGGGCCGAGGCCGGUGGAUCACCUGAGGUCAGGAGUUUGAGACUAGCCUGGCCAACAUGGUGAAAUCUCAUCUCUACUAAAAACACAAAAAUUGGCCAGGUGUGGUGGCUCAUGCCUGUAAUCCCAGCACUUUGGGAGGCCAAGGCAGGCAGAUCACCUGAGGUCAGGAGUUCAAGACCAGCCUGACGAACAUGGAGAAACCCCGUCUCUACUAAAAAUACAAAAUCAGCCAGGUGUGGUGGUGCAUGCCUGUAAUCCCAGCUACUCGGGAGGCUGAGGCAGGAGAAUCGCCUGAACCCAGGAGGCGAAGGUUGCAGUAAACCAAGAUUGCGCCACUGCACUCCAGCCUGGGCAACUAGAGCAAAACUCUUGUCUUGGCCCGGCGCAGUGGCUCACGCCUGUAAUCCCAGCACUUUGGGAGGCUGAGGCAGGCGGGUCACCUGAGAGCAGGAGUUCGAGACCAGCUUGGACAACAUGGUGAAACCCCAUCUCUACCAAAACUACAAAAAUUAGCCGGGUGUGGUGGCAGGUGCAUGUAAUUCCAGCUACUCAGGAGGCUGAGGCGGGAGAUUUGCUUGAACCCAGGAGGCGGAGCUUGCAGUGAGCUGAGAUCGUGCCACUGCACUCCAGCCUGGGUGACAGAGCGACACUCCGUCUCAAAAAAAAGAUAAUUUUCUGUCUAGGACAAGUGGGGUGGCUCAUGACUGUAAUCCCAGCGCUUUGGGAGGCUGAGGUGGGUAGAUCACCUGAGGUCAGGAGUUCGAAUUUGGCCUGGCCAACAUGGUGAAACCACAUCUCUACUAAAAAUACAAAAUUAGCCGGGCGUGGUGACCAGUGCCUGUAAUCGCAGCUACUUGGGAGGCUGAGGCUGGAGAAUCACUUGAACCCAGGAGAUGUAGGUUGCAGUGAGCCGAGAUCAUGCCAACUACAGCCUGGGCGACAGAUUGAGACUCUGUCUCAAAAAAAAAAAAAAAAGCGUAUGGUGGCGCGCGCCUGUAAUCCCAGCACUUUGGGAGGCCGAGGUGGGCAGAUUACCUGAAGUCAGGAGUUUGAGACCAGCGUCCCCAACAUGGAGAAACCUGGUCUCUACUAAAAAUACAAAAAAUGAGCCGGCUGUGGUGGUGGGCACCUGUAAUCCCAGCUUCUGGGGAGGCUGAGACAGGAGAAUCGCUUCAGCCUGGGAGGCAAACCUUGCAGUGAACUGAGAUCAUGACACUGCACUCCAGCCUGGGCGACAAGAGCAAAACUCCCUCUCGAAAAGAAAAGAAAAGAAAAGAAAAGUUCAUCUGUCCUUUGAUCUGGCACAUCUUUUAUAAUGGCCUGUUCUGCCUCUGCCUUGUCACUGAGCAGUGUGGGGAGAAUUAUGCCCAUGAG